AUGUCCACCUCCUCCGCAGUCCCCUCCUCUGGCCUCAACUACAACACCUCAGAACCUCUCAGCCGGACGAACUAUGUUCUCUGGCGAGCCCAAGCACAAUCCCAGAUAUUGGGCGCCGGCUUGUUUGGCUACAUAGAUCAGACUAUAGAGGAGCCUCCAAAAACAACCAUCAGCAAAGACAAAGAUGGCAAAGAUCAGGUAGCUCCCAACCCUGCUCAUAAACCUUGGCUUGUUUAAGAUCAGCAAAUAGUAGCAUAUCUUCUCCGAAACCUUUCAAAAGAGGUGCUCGUCCAAGUAGCCUCGCUUGAAUCAUCACAUGCAAUUUGGACCGCGCUAGCAAAUAUGUUUUCUGCGGUCUCUCUAUCUCGUGUCAAUAACAUCAGAUCGGCCCUCACAAACGCCCAGAAGGGGUCACAGUCGGCCUCCACCUUCUUCGGGCAGAUGCGUGCCCUCUCCGACGAGCUUGCGGUGGCAGGCAAACCGAUCGGGGAGGACGAGCUUAUCUCCUUCAUCGUCGCCGGGCUUGAUAUGGAGUAUCAGCCCAUCAUCUCUGCACUCGACGCCCGCACCGAGCCCAUCACCGUUGAUGCACUCUUCUCGAUGGUGGCAAACUUUGAUCAACGCGCUGAGAUGUUUAGCAACGCUGGUGGCUUCAAAUCGUCAGCGAACUCCGCCUCCAGGGGUCGAUCGAGUGGCGGCAGAGGCGGCUACCGCAACCAGAAGCAUGGUGGUUGCGGCGGCGGCUACUCUGGUGGUGGCGGCCAAAACCCUAGCAGCGACUAUCCUGGCACGGAUAGCGGCGGCUACAACCAAGGCGGCGGCGGCUACAACCACCACGGCAGCGGCGGCGGCUAG
rnacentral:rRNA from 1 species